CCAAACCUCGUAGUGUCAGUGCAGCUUAUUUGACAUUAAGAUCUUUCUCCAUUGGCACAGACAGGCUGAUAAAUUGGUAACCAGAGGAAAGAAAUGACACCCACCUUGUUCAUGGAAACUAUUUUCCUCAGGGCAGCACCACAGUGUCCAGCAGCCUCCUCACCAGGCUCAGUCUGCAGGUCUUGAUCAGAGCCCGUGAUAACUCUGUCACCUCUGCUGUGUGAGACCUGUACAGGCAUCGAAGCUCAGCUUUCACAGUGUCUGCAGGGUACCUCUCCUCUGCCUUUUUCACUGCCUGCUCCAGCUGUGUGGUGGCAUGGACGGGGUCAGGGCCUCCCUGCAUGAACAGAGCAAGGAGAGCCUGUAGGAGGCAGCGCAGAGCUGUGGUGUCCAUGCUUGCAGGUCUCUCCAGCUCCAUAGCCCGUUUGAAGCAGUCUGCAGCAUUCUGCUCCUCGCCUUUCAACAGGAGGCAGCGUCCACGGAGCACAUGGAGGUCCGGCAGGCUGUCACUCAGCUCAAACUGUAGAGCAUGAGACAGACUCACCAGAGCACAGUUCACUGCCCCUUCAUCCACCAAAAGACUCUCCUGCAGGGCAUCUACACCCAUGUAGUAGUAAACCUGAAGGGAAGGAAAUGAUUCAUCUGAAAACCCUGUGACUGUAGGAAAUCCAUUCAUGUUGCUCAUGAGUAGCAGUUUGUGUUUACCUGUGCCAUUCCCAGGUGAGUCCGCAGACACGGGCGUACAGUCAGAACCUUGUCCAAGUCUUUUCUGGCCUCAGUUAGCUUCUGGCGGUCUGGGAUUCCACCAUUACCCUGUUUUGCAAUCUCCAGAUCCCGGAUGUAGAGCAUCAUAUUGAUCUAAAAGGAACACCUUAAUAAACAUGUGUACAAUGCA